AUCCUGUGCAGCGAGCAACGGAAUUCCAUCUACCCUGACCAUUGAUGGUGACAUAAUUCUUGAGUAUGGAGUCCUCUUCAUCUGUCAUUAAUGGACAUUAGGACCUACCGAAAACUCGAACCUCUCUCUCUCUCCCCCAAAAUUCUUCUCUACAACAAGAAUGGAAGGUAGGAAUGAAUAUAAAAAAGGGUUGUGGACAGAGGAGGAGGCCGGAUUGAAUCUUAAUGGAUUACAUGUCAGGUUUAAAGAGGCGUGGCAAAAGUACUUGCAGAUUAAGGUGGAUAAAUUAUCUAAGUCCUAGUGUAAAGCGGGGUGGUUUUUCAAAGGAGGUAGAAGCUGAGGGAGAAAAAGCUUCGACGGACGGGGGCAGACGGAGGAAAACCACAAUGUGGGGUGACAGAGCGUGGUGGUGUUAACGGACACUACAACAUUUUGUAUCUUCUAGAACAAAAGUUUUCAUCUCAAAAAGAUACUGUCUCAUCUGAUCAAAUGAGUUUUUAAGGAAAAUAAAAAAUAAAAAAGCG